ensembl:snRNA U1 U1 spliceosomal RNA
AUGAUCACGCAGCUGGUUUUCCCAGGGCGAGGCUCUUCCGUUGCACUGUGAAAGUGCUGACCCCAGCGAUUUCCCCAUAUGUGGGAAACUCAGCUGCAUAAUUUGUGGUAUUGGGGUCUGCGUUUGCGCUCUCCCCUG